rnacentral:tRNA from 2 species
UUGCCCGCCGGGCGCUCGGCAAAGCGCUGCAGGUCGGUGGCCUGCAGCAGGUUGGCCAUGCGCUGUUCGCAUUCGCGGCGGCCGAG